rnacentral:lncRNA from 1 species
ACAGUUGUAGUGAGACAGUGGAAAUGGUUUGGUAGGUGACAAUUUUCAAGCCGUGUGCAACUGCCGAUACUAUAAACAAGUAUUUUCAUCGCAGUCUUACUAUAUAACGAUUCAAACACUAGAUCCCUUUUCAUUCUUUGAUUUUUAUCAUCCCCUUCUCUCAUCGCCACUUUCAUUCGGUAAUCCAGCCAAGAAUCAAGUUUUUUCUAGCCUAGAACUAGAAUGCGUGCGUGUGUGUUUCUGAUUCUUUUUGUUUACCAAGAAAGAAACAAUUAUUGGCUUCAAAAUCAUUUAAUCACGUGCCCUUUUCCUUGAUUUAUUUAUCUGACAUCUAUAUCUAUGAUACGAAUCAGAAAUUUGGCACCUCUCCCAUUCAUGUGAUUCUUCACUGAUCAAACUGUUUCUCCCUGUCUGAAAAUUUUAGGUGUUGUUUUAGCGUUAUGGGCGCGUUAGAUUUCUUGGGAACACCUGAAGGUCAACUGUUUCUAGCCGUUGCAGUCGGUCUUGUUGGAGUUGGUGCUGCUUAUUUCUUGCUUUCCUCGAAGAAGCCCAAAGGUUUUGACUGUAUCUUGUGUUGAUGUAUUNCGCGGAGGCUGGGUGGUCGGCGGAGGAAGCGGGGGCGGCGGCGGGUGCGGAAGAUCUGGUCGGCGAGUAACGGCGUUGUAUCUACGGCGACGGGGGACGGGGAGUCGGCGCUGGACGACAUCGUUUUGUUGGCCGGAGAGCGGGGUGGGGGGGAGGAGGUGUGCUACUGAGUGGGGGGAGGGGGACGGUCUUGGGGGUGGGGGGAGGGGGAGGUCUUGGGCUGUGGGGGAAGGGGGGUUGGGGAAGUGUGCGUGUGUUUGUGUGUGUCUGAGUGUGAGAGAGAGAGAGAGGGGGGUGUAUGUGUGAUUUGGCAAUUUUGGCUGCCACAUUGGCAAUUUAACUUCCACCUCAGAUUUAAUUUGGACAAAAUUAUAAAUAAUGGGAUAAUUACAAAUAAAGUAUAAAUUUAUGUAUUUUUUGGCCAAAAAAAAAGUGAUGAUAUAAACCAGAAAAUUUAUAAACUUCAUGUAUUUUAUGGCAAUAACCCCUUAAUGUAACUUGUUUUUUCGGAAAUCGGUUUACCAAGUAAUAGCGUGGACACGUGGCAGCAUAAUAUUGGUGCUCCACCCAAAUUUCGGACCAGUAGUUGCUACACAGUUGUAGUGAGACAGUGGAAAUGGUUUGGUAGGUGACAAUUUUCAAGCCGUGUGCAACUGCCGAUACUAUAAACAAGUAUUUUCAUCGCAGUCUUACUAUAUAACGAUUCAAACACUAGAUCCCUUUUCAUUCUUUGAUUUUUAUCAUCCCCUUCUCUCAUCGCCACUUUCAUUCGGUAAUCCAGCCAAGAAUCAAGUUUUUUCCAGCCUAGAACUAGAAUGCGUGCGUGUGUUUCUGAUUCUUUUUGUUUACCAAGAAAAGAAACAAUUAUUGGCUUCAAAAUCAUUUAAUCACAUGCCCUUUUCCUUGAUUUAUUUAUCUGACAUCUAUAUCUAUGAUACGAAUCAGAAAUUUGGCACCUCUCCCAUUAAUGUGAUUCUUCACUGAUCAAACUGUUUCUCCCUGUCUGAAAAUUUUAGGUGUUGUUUUAGCGUUAUGGGCGCGUUAGAUUUCUUGGGAACACCUGAAGGUCAACUGUUUCUAGCCGUUGCAGUCGGUCUUGUUGGAGUUGGUGCUGCUUAUUUCUUGCUUUCCUCGAAGAAGCCCAAAGGUUUUGAC